UGUCUUUCAGUAGAAAAAAAAAUUUGGAUGGUUUUCUGGCAUUUUUUUUUAUUCAAAUAGGUUUAUCUAAAUGUUAUUCUUUAUUUGCACUGAAAAAAUAUUCACUUUUCAGAUAAAAUCACCUUAAAAUAAUAGAAUAAAUGUUCAAAAUGUCAUUAGCAUGGAUGUCCACAGUAGCUCUACCUCCUCUAUACCAACAUUUUUGAAGUGCUAGUAUCAUGUUAAUAAGACUAAGUAAAUUUUAUUCUUUGUUUAAAUGAAUCAAUGAGAUGUUUAAUCCAAUAAAUUUAUUUUUAACAAUAAAACAAUAAUAUGUAGUAAAGGAUUUAAAGCUUGUCCCCCAUUUUUGACUUCUAAACCAUGGACGCACUUUAUCAGCUAUUUAUUAAUUAAUAUUUCAUUUUCACGAAUGGCAAUAGUGUCAGAAAAUCAAGUUUUUGUGAGGCAGCAAGUAGCCAUUUUACAUCAAUGAGAAAACAGAAGCAUGUGCUGCAUUUUGAGAGCAGAAGUUGAAUAUUAGAUUUAAUGAGAAUAUGGGGAAAAGUAAGGUAAUGAGUAGAGAUGAAAAACUUAAAAGAAAAAGAGAGUAUGAAAAAAGAAGAGAAAAAAUUAAAGCAGAUGUUGAUAAACAGCAAGAACUUAAAGAUCUUAAACAUCAAAUAUAUUUAAAAGCAAAAGAAUCAGGUCGGAUAAAAAUGGUUAAAGAUAUGACUACAAGGGAACAUAGAGCACAGAGAAAUACUUGGAGACAUAACCAAAAAUCAUGUAGCAGUAGAAAAAAGUUGGAUGAAGUAAAGCAGAUGUAUGAAAGUCCAUCAACCUCAAUUAAUAAUAAUGAUGAAUUCUCGGAUAUUGAAAGCAUAACAAAUGAUAGUGCUAUGUCAAUAAGUAGCUCUGUAAGUA